GUUUAAUUCGAAGCAACGCGAAGAACCUUACCAGGUCUUGACAUCCCGCUGACCGGUCUGGAGACAGGCCUUUCCCUUAUGGGACAGCGGUGACAGGUGGUGCAUGGUUGUCGUCAGCUCGUGUCGUGAGAUGUUGGGUUAAGUCCCGCAACGAGCGCAACCCCUGUCCUUAGUUGCCAGCAUUGAGUUGGGCACUCUAAGGAGACUGCCGGCUAGAAGUCGGAGGAAGGUGGGGAUGACGUCAAAUCAUCAUGCCCCUUAUGACCUGGGCUACACACGUGCUACAAUGGGCGGUACAAAGGGCAGCGAACCCGCGAGGGGGAGCGAAUCCCAAAAAGCCGCUCUCAGUUCGGAUUGCAGGCUGCAACUCGCCUGCAUGAAGGCGGAAUCGCUAGUAAUCGCGGAUCAGCAUGCCGCGGUGAAUACGUUCUCGGGCCUUGUACACACCGCCCGUCACACCACGAGAGUCUGCAACACCCGAAGUCGGUGAGGUAACCCGAAAGGG
rnacentral:ncRNA from 1 species